AUGUCACAGCAACCUGUCGUAGUUUGUGAUUACUCCGAAUCAGAUGACGAUAUUGCGCUACCAUCUCCGGCGGCUACCAGGCGUAGCAUUCGUCUCCAAAACCGCGAUUCUCCAUGGACCCAGUGGUCUUCAGAAAGGAUUAUUAAUACACUCCAGGCGGCCGGCAUUCCUAUCAACCAAGAUCUAUCAAGAGAUGAUCUGGUCCUUCUGGCAUUUAACACGCUGGGUUCCCCACCCGAGUCACCUGCAGAUACAGCUCAGUCAUUUUCAGCAACGUCAGGGCAAUCCAAAACAACUGGAAGGAAGAGGUCAGCUAAAUCUUCUUCUCCCCGCCCAGUUAAGAAACACAUGACACUCGCGCAGGCAUCGCAACCUCCGACCAAUUACGGUGCUGUCGAUGCCAAUACUCAACUUAUUCAGGCUGUCAAAAGCCUUUCAGAUACUGUUAAGGUUCUAGAAUCGAAAAUGGCCAUCUUCGAGAAUGCCGUCGCCGGUUGCGCUCCAGGUUCUACUCCACCCUUUUUUAGUUCAGUCUUCCCUACGGCUCCUCAUCAUGCUUCCGGAUCCAACGACCAAAUAAGUGCCCCCUCUACAUCCCAUGGAGUACAGGCACCUAACCAGUCGGCUAGCACUUCAAGCCAGGACAUCAAUGCCCCACUAUCGUCGUCACAUUAUAAUCUAUCUACUGCAGUUCCGGCACAAGCAUACGGUAGGCGUUUCGUUUCACCCGCUGCAGUAACAGUGUCACCCCUAACAAGACAAAAUAUUAUUCAAGGAAAAGACAUUAACCUAGCUUCAUUGCUGCUUCCUUCACCUGCAAUAGACCGUCAAAUGGUCGACUGUGGCGACGUGGCAGUAUACCUCAAAACGUCUGAUCCCAGACUGCAACGGAACCUCUCAUUCGGCGAAUUCGUAAUUGCGUUCGGUAUCUACAGAGAUGUCUUAUGUGAAGUGUUUCCUAAACGCAGAGAGGAAUUAGACCUUUAUUUGGCCAUGAUGGCAGAUUUCAAUCAAAGGUACGGGGGUACGCUAUUCUACGAAUAUCAUAAAUCCCUCUCUGCAAAGUCUGCAUCUCUCAUUACUCUAUUCAACUCAAGACUCGACUGGUCAGUCACGGAUACUGAACUCUUAGUUCGUCACUUCGGAGGCCAGAAAAUUUCGGCAUGUCUCAUCUGCAGCUCGCACGGUCACUCUGCACCUUUUUGCCCUAAGACUUACAAUAAAAAAGAUACAGACGCUGUCCAUGGUCCCGCAGAAGUAAGCAAAAUGUCAGAUGCUAGAGGGCGUCCCAUUACUAAAUUCAACGGUUUUUCUUUAUGCAAUAAUUUCAAUGAAUCUGUGUGUUCCUUCCCUAACUGUAAAUUUGCUCAUAUAUGUAGCUUCUGCAAGGAUCCUCACCCGAAAUCGGUUUGCCCACGGCGGUUCAAGCCUCCUCCCAGAGUGAAAGACUCUACUCGGAAAAAAUUCUGA
ensembl:lncRNA